rnacentral:rRNA from 1 species
UACGUAGGGUGCGAGCGUUGUCCGGAAUUAUUGGGCGUAAAGAGCUUGUAGGCGGUUUGUCGCGUCUGCUGUGAAAAUCCGGGGCUCAACCCCGGACUUGCAGUGGGUACGGGGCAGACUAGAGUGUGGUAGGGGAGACUGGAAUUCCUGGUGGUAGCGGUGGAAUGCGCAGAUAUCAGGAGGAACACCGAUGGCGAAGGCAGGUCUCUGGGCCACUACUGACGCUGAGAAGCGAAAGCAUGGGGAGCGAACAGG